CCAGAUUAUUUGUCCCGACCGCCCAUGAGAAAAUGAGUUACGAACGUGUACUCAUAGUUCUUUCCUUGAGAGACACCGUGGUUUGCUAACGAGCGAAGCAUCGCCGUUGCUUAGUGUUUGGAUGUACAAAUGAACACAAAAGUCUAUAUUUUGUUCAUUAAUCCGAGCCGCUGAAGAACCAGUGGGUUAAUUGUAUUGUCUCUGGAAAUGCGCCAGUCUGCGCCAAACAUUUCACUGACGACUGCUUCCUCAACUUGGGCGAAUACAAAGCUGGACUUGCUCAACGUCUGAAAAUCAAGUCUGGAUCAAUAAUAACUCUCCUCGGCUCAGCUACAAACCUCGAAAAAGCCAGCUCAUCAAGUGCUUACAUUCAGCAGCUUCUUUCAAGGGAUGUCGCCUGCCAGAAAGAACAUCUGGAAACGUAUAUUUGUAGGCACACAGCUAUCCUUAAAGUCUUUGCAGCCCCAUUUUAAAAGCUGCGAUGCCUUUAGAGACCGUAGCACUCAUCGCAACGCCACCUCAGAGAUUCUGGGUGAGGACGCCCCGGGAGGGCCCUUUAGUGACGGACGGCCAUGACACCCUCUUCACCGCGUCUGAAGUGGAGGCCCUGAACUCGCUGUCUGCAGACCACAGCGUGGCCAAGAGCCUGGAGCGCGGCGAGCGGCUGGUCUGCCGCGAGGAGCUGAGUGUGCAG